rnacentral:rRNA from 1 species
UACGUGAGGGGCGAACGUUGUUCGGUGUCACUGGGCUUAAAGGGCGCGUAGGUGGUUGCGUAAGUAACGUGUGAAAUCCCUCGGCUUACCCGGGGAAUUGCACGUUAUACUGCGUGACUUGAGGAUCAGAGGGGAAUGGGGAACUCCAGGUGUAGCGGUGAAAUGCGCAGAUAUCUGGGGGAAGGCCGGCGGCGAAGGCGCCGAUUCUGGCUGAUUCCUGACACUGAGGCGCGAAAGCGUGGGGAGCAAACAGG